rnacentral:precursor_RNA from 15 species
UAUCCUGCCUCCAUCCCUUCCAGCUGCCACAUUUGCACAAGGUGCUCUAUUCUGUGAAUUCUCUCCUGAAGAGCUCCUUGUUCGUAGUGGCUGUUGGCGAAGAACUUGGCAGCGAAAC